rnacentral:rRNA from 1 species
UACGAAGGGGGCAAGCGUUGUUCGGAAUUACUGGGCGUAAAGGGCGCGUAGGCGGCUUAUCAAGUCAGGCGUGAAAUUCCCGGGCUCAACCUGGGGGAUGCGCUUGAUACUGAUGAGCUUGAAUGCGGGAGAGGAUAGUGGAAUUCCCAGUGUAGAGGUGAAAUUCGUAGAUAUUGGGAAGAACACCGGUGGCGAAGGCGGCUAUCUGGCCCGUAAUUGACGCUGAGGCGCGAAAGCGUGGGGAGCAAACAGG